GGGGUGAGGAUGCUCACCCUGAGCACGGUGAGAUUUCCCCUUUCCCUUCCUGGAUCGACGCUGAACUUUGGGCACAUUUCUUGGCUCAGUUGGCAGUUAUUAAAAUUCGCUGCUCACUUUUGUUUACAGUUGGUUAUUUACUUUGUUGAAUUUUUAAAAACUUGUUAGAAUGCAAUUGAACACAGAUUCAACAGUAUUUAAGCUUGAAAAAUAAAGAUGCAUUAGAAAGAUGCCUAUUAUGCUUCAGAAUUAUUAAUUGACAUUUUUAUGAUGAAUAAUUAAUCAUUUGAAUAAUUUUCCUAUCUCUGAUCUGAACACAUAUUUGCAUAUCUAAUGUCUGAUUUUAAAUGUGGUUUCUUUAGUUGCAAUCUCCCAGGACAAAGACACGAAAGCAAGCGCACGAGUGGCACAGCAGUUGCAAGCUGGUCAGCAGAUAGGUGCAAGAGGAGGUGUCCGUUGUGCAACCCACUUGGUUCAGUUGGUGCAAGCACAGCUCAGCCACAUGGGGAACAGAAAGGAGGAAGGGGCAGCUGGACAAAACCGUAA
rnacentral:lncRNA from 1 species